rnacentral:rRNA from 1 species
AGUGGAUGCGAGCAUCUUUGUGGUCAAGUUAUUAAGGGCACAUGGUGGAUGUCUUGGCUUCAGGAGCCGAUGAAGGACGUGGGAGGCUGCGAUAUGCCUCGGGGAGCUGUCAACCGAGCUGUGAUCCGAGGAUUUCCGAAUGGGGAAACCCAGCACCAGUUAUGUGGUGUUACCCGCAUCUGAAUAUAUAGGGUGUGUGGAGGGAACGCGGGGAAGUGAAACAUCUCAGUACCCGUAGGAAGAGAAAACAACCGUGAUUCCGUGAGUAGUGGCGAGCGAAAGCGGAAGAGGCUAAACCAUGCACAUGUCAAGCUGUCAGGCGUUGUGUGUGUGGUGUUGUGGGACCCGCCUUGGAAGAUCUGACAGUCUUCCGGGUUUACGCGUGUGUUAGUGGAACGCCUUGGGAUGGGCGACCGGAGUGGGUGAGAGUCCCGUACGCGAAAACACAUGUUAGUGAAUCUUGGUGGUGUUCCCGAGUAGCAGCGAGCUCGUGGAAUUUGCUGUGAAUCUGCCGGGACCACCCGGUAAGCCUAAAUACUUCCUGAAGACCGAUAGCGGACUAGUACCGUGAGGGAAAGAUGAAAAGUACCCCGGGAGGGGAGUGAAAGAGUACCUGAAACCGUGUGCCUACAAGCCGUCAGAGCCCGAGCACAUCCUUUGGAUGUUACGGUGAUGGCGUGCCUUUUGAAGAAUGAGCCUGCGAGUUAGUGCUGCGUGGCGAGGUUAACCCGUGUGGGGUAGCCGUAGCGAAAGCGAGUCUGAAUAGGGCGUCUGAGUCGCGUGGUCUAGACCCGAAGCGGAGUGAUCUACCCAUGGCCAGGCUGAAGCGUCGGUAAGACGACGUGGAGGGCCGAACCCACUUAGGUUGAAAACUGAGGGGAUGAGCUGUGGGUAGGGGUGAAAGGCCAAUCAAACUCCGUGAUAGCUGGUUCUCCCCGAAAUGCAUUUAGGUGCAGCGUCACAUGUUUCACCACGGGGGUAGAGCUACUGGAUGGUCUAGGGGCCUUACCGGGUUACCGAAAUCAACCAAACUCCGAAUACCGUGGUGUGAGAGUGUGGCAGUGAGACGGCGGGGGAUAAGCUUCGUCGUCGAGAGGGAAACAGCCCAGAACACCAGCUAAGGCCCCCAAGUGUGUGCUCAGUGGGAAAGGAUGUGGGAUUGCCCAGACAACCAGGAGGUUGGCUUAGAAGCAGCCACCCUUGAAAGAGUGCGUAAUAGCUCACUGGUCAAGUGGUCCUGCGCCGACAAUGUAGCGGGGCUUAAGCACACCGCCGAAGCUGUGUCAUUCAUGCAAUACAUCGGCUCAACUCCUUGAGGGUUGUGUCUAGUGGUGUGGAUGGGUAGGGGAGCGUCCUGCAUCCAGGGAAGCGGCGGCGGAAGCCAGUCGUGGAGGGUGUGGGAGUGAGAAUGCAGGCAUGAGUAGCGAAUGCAGAGUGAGAAACUCUGCCGCCGGAUGACCAAGGGUUCCUGGGCCAGGCUAAUCCGCCCAGGGUAAGUCGGGACCUAAGGCGAGGCCGACAGGCGUAGUCGAUGGAUAACGGGUUGAUAUUCCCGUACCCGAGCACGUGCGCCCAGGAUGAGGCGGUUGAUACUAACCACCCAAAGC